rnacentral:rRNA from 1 species
CCGACCUUGCCAUUGGCGUACCUCACAUGUAAGUCCAGCGGAACGAGUUAACUGAACCUUCGGGGAACGUUAACGGCGUCGAGCGGCGGACGGGUGAGUAAUGCCUGGGAAAUUGCCCUGAUGUGGGGGAUAACCAUUGGAAACGAUGGCUAAUACCGCAUAAUAGCUUCGGCUCAAAGAGGGGGACCUUCGGGCCUCUCGCGUCAGGAUAUGCCCAGGUGGGAUUAGCUAGUUGGUGAGGUAAGGGCUCACCAAGGCGACGAUCCCUAGCUGGUCUGAGAGGAUGAUCAGCCACACUGGAACUGAGACACGGUCCAGACUCCUACGGGAGGCAGCAGUGGGGAAUAUUGCACAAUGGGCGCAAGCCUGAUGCAGCCAUGCCGCGUGUAUGAAGAAGGCCUUCGGGUUGUAAAGUACUUUCAGCAGUGAGGAAGGCGGAGUCGUUAAUAGCGGCCUCGUUUGACGUUAGCUGCAGAAGAAGCACCGGCUAACUCCGUGCCAGCAGCCGCGGUAAUACGGAGGGUGCGAGCGUUAAUCGGAAUUACUGGGCGUAAAGCGCAUGCAGGUGGUUUGUUAAGUCAGAUGUGAAAGCCCGGGGCUCAACCUCGGAAUUGCAUUUGAAACUGGCAGACUAGAGUACUGUAGAGGGGGGUAGAAUUUCAGGUGUAGCGGUGAAAUGCGUAGAGAUCUGAAGGAAUACCGGUGGCGAAGGCGGCCCCCUGGACAGAUACUGACACUCAGAUGCGAAAGCGUGGGGAGCAAACAGGAUUAGAUACCCUGGUAGUCCACGCCGUAAACGAUGUCUACUUGGAGGUUGUGGCCUUGAGCCGUGGCUUUCGGAGCUAACGCGUUAAGUAGACCGCCUGGGGAGUACGGUCGCAAGAUUAAAACUCAAAUGAAUUGACGGGGGCCCGCACAAGCGGUGGAGCAUGUGGUUUAAUUCGAUGCAACGCGAGAACCUUACCUACUCUUGACAUCCAGAGAACUUUCCAGAGAUGGA